AUACGGAGGAUCCGAGCGUUAUCCGGAUUUAUUGGGUUUAAAGGGUGCGCAGGCGGCCAUUUAAGUCAGCGGUUAAAUCGUGGGGCUCAACCCCAUUCUGCCGUUGAUACUGGGUGGCUUGAUUGCGGUCGAGGUUGGCGGAAUUCGUUGUGUAGCGGUGAAAGGCAUAGAUAUGACGAAGAACACCGAUUGCGUAGGCAGCUGGCCAGACCGCAAAUGACGCUCAUGCACGAAAGUGCGGGGAUCGAACAGGAUUAGAUACCCUGGUAGUCCGCACAGUAAACGAUGAAUACUUGUUGUCGGCGAUAUAAUGUCGGAGGCAAAGCGAAAGCGAUAAGUAUUCCACCUGGGGAGUACGCCGGCAACGGUGAAACUCAAAGGAAUUGACGGGG
rnacentral:rRNA from 1 species